rnacentral:piRNA from 1 species
UAGAGUAAGGACAAGAUUGCAGAGC